GAGCUGGGUCGGCCGUUGUCUCGGCAACCAGGUGCACGCGUUCCCUCAGCCGGCUGUGGCGCCGAGGGCCGGAGCCUCCCGAGGCUCAGGGGCAGCGGUACUCAUGGAUCUUCUGGAGCACGAGGAUCAUCAAGCAGAAAAGCACCGCUCGGUAACCACGUAGUGAACAGGAACAGCACUUAAAACAGUCGUUUCACAGGUUUCAAGAUUUCCUCCAGCCCUUAUAAAUACCACAGGAAAGUAAUCUCAAACUCAGAAAAAAAGGGAUUUAAUUCUCAGUCAAAGAGAUUUCAGUAUAACCAA